GCCUGCUAACUAGCUACACGGAGGUGAUCCUUCGUGGCUAGCUUCUUAGAGGGACUAUGGCCUUUUAGGCCACGAAAGUUUAAGGCAAUAACAAGUCUGUGAUGCCCUUAGAUGUUCUGGGCCGCACACGCGCGACACUGAUGUAUUCAACGAGUCUAUAGCCUUGGCCGACAGGCCCAGGUAAUCUUUGAAAUUUCAUCGUGAUGAGGAUAGAUCAUUGCAAUUGUUGGUCUUCAACGAGGAAUUCCUAGUAAGCGCAAGUCAUCAGCUCGUGUUGACUACGUCCCUGCCCUUUGUACACACUGCCCGUCGCUCCUACCGAUUGAAUAGUCCGGUGAAGUGUUCGGAUCACGGCAACGUGGGCAGUUCGCUACCCGCGACAUCACGAGAAGUCCACUGAACCUUAUCAUUUAGAGGAAAGAGAAGUCGAAACAAGGUUUCCGUAGGUGAACUUGCGGAAGGAUCAUUG
rnacentral:ncRNA from 1 species